UACGAAGGGGGCUAGCGUUGUUCGGAGUUACUGGGCGUAAAGGGCGCGUAGGCGGCGCACCAAGUCAGGCGUGAAAGCCCUGGGCUCAACCCGGGAAUUGCGCUUGAGACUGGUGUGCUUGAGUACGGGAGAGGAUAGUGGAAUUCCCAGUGUAGAGGUGAAAUUCGUAGAUAUUGGGAGGAACACCGGUGGCGAAGGCGGCGACCUGGGUAGAUACUGACGCUGAGGCGCGAAAGCGUGGGGAGCAAACAGG
rnacentral:rRNA from 1 species